ensembl:snoRNA SNORA70 Small nucleolar RNA SNORA70
CUGCAGCUUAUUAAGCUGACUGGUCUCACUGCGGUGUGUGUUUCUGGUGUGCAAUGGCUGCAGACAGUGACUCUGUGGUUGUGUAUGUCCUCAGCUGGGAGGUGCUGAGUGCUUUAAGGGACCACUGAGACAAAA